GAUGAACGCUAGCGGGAGGCUUAACAAAUGCAAGUCGAGGGGUAUAAGUAGCUUGCUACUUAGAGACCGGCGCACGGGUGAGUAACGCGUAUGCAACCUGGCCGUAAGAGGGGGAUAGCCUCUCGAAAGAGAGAUUAAUACCGCAUAAUAUCACGAGAAGGCGUCUUUUUGUGCUUAAAUAUUUAUAGCUUACGGAUGGGCAUGCGUCUGAUUAGUUUGUUGGUAGGGUAACGGCCUACCAAGACUACGAUCAGUAGGGGUUCUGAGAGGAAGGUCCCCCACACUGGUACUGAGACACGGACCAGACUCCUACGGGAGGCAGCAGUGAGGAAUAUUGGUCAAUGGGCGCAAGCCUGAACCAGCCAAGUCGCGUGAAGGAAGACUGCCCUAUGGGUUGUAAACUUCUUUUGUAAGGGGAUAAAGUGCACUACGUGUAGUGUUUUGUAGGUACCUUACGAAUAAGGAUCGGCUAACUCCGUGCCAGCCGCCGCCGUAAUAC
rnacentral:rRNA from 1 species